CCCGUCCGCAGUCCCGUCACCCCGAGGAGACCCCGUCCCCGUCCGCAGUCCCGUCACCCCGAGGAGACCCCGUCCCCGUCCGCAGUCCCGUCACCCCGAGGAGACCCCGUCCCUGGGGUCCCACCGCCCGGACGGGUCAGGCCGCAGAGGGAAAGGGGGGCAGGCUGGUCAGGAGCUCGGAAGUCGGGGUGCGUCUGGGAAGGAGGGGCAGCCGACGGCACCGGUCCGCACUGCCGCGCGUCCUCGGCCCUCCCAUCUGUUCUUUUUCUGAAGAAAGCUCCGUAGAGGAGCGGCCCAGACAGCAGGUGCGGAGCAGAUGGAGCCCGCGCCCGUGCCGGCUCCCAGAAGCCCCCAUACUCUCUGUCCCUGAAAAGGCAAGUUGGAUUUUUUUCAUGUCUUUUCUUGUAUCGUCACCUCAAAUACAAGCCAGUGUGAUACAUAAGUAAAAUGUUCUUGGUAUUUUGAUAAGUGUGUUUAAUUUUUUAAAAAACAGACUGUAGCGAGUUAAGCCACUUACCCAUGCACAAAAUUAGGAGUGAAGCCAGGAUUAUGUGUUACUCAGAAAUGCAAUCAGCCACUUAACGCCGCAUUAGAUGCUGACACCCCAAAAACAUCCACAUUUCCUCUGGAACCCACUGCAGGCUUACAAGGUUAAGAAGAACAACGCUCAUUGUAUUGUGAUUUAUAGCAUCGCGUUCCGUAUAUUUAUGUUCACCAUGUGCUGUUUUUAUUCUAAACAUGCUUGUUUUUAAUUUUGUAAAUGCCCUAGUGCCAGUAUCUGGGAUUCAGGGAGUAAAUUUUCACCCUAAGACAAUGUGGAGUACUCAGGGUCUGGAGUCAGACUGCCAAAUCUGUCUCCUCCCAGCUCUGUGCCCUUGUGAAAAUUACUGUCUUUUCAAACCGUGGGUUUUAUCAUUUGUACAAUGAGGACGUUACUAGUACUCACCUCCCAGAUUGUUAUAGGAUUAAAUGAGAUAAUUUGUGUGCUUACGACACAGCAAAUACUCCGGAAAUGCUGGCUCUUAUAUUUAUUACUUCCACAUAACUAAUUACAUCGAUUUUGUGCUUGAGAACAUGGACAAGUUAUCUUGCUUUUUAAAACUUUAAAAUUCAUUUUCAUAAGUAUAAAAUAUAAAAUUAUUUUAUGUUUACUUGCCCUAUUUAGAAUUUUUAUUUGCUUAUUUAUUUAUUUGACAGAGAGAGAGAGAGAGAGCACAAGCAGGCAGAGUAGCAAGCAGAGGGAGGAGGAAGGUUUCCCGCCAAGCAAGAAGCCGCAUGCAGGGCUCGUGACCUGAGCCGAAGGCAGUUGCUCAACCAACUGAGCCACCCAGGUGCCCCUACUUGCCCUAUUUAACUACGUGUUCACCUUUUUUAAAAAGCGAAUUCUUUCAUUUUUUUAAACUAAUAUUAUUAAUGGCUAUCAAGAUGUUCGGCUGACAAAUAUUUUAUGUAAUCUGCAUGCUCAGCUCAAAUUCAGGCACUGGUUGACGUUAAAAUUUUUAAGUAUCGUUACUUUUACAGUAUACAUCUGUGCUUAAAAUUCAGUAAAAAACUGUAAUAUAUUCUUGGGCUCACAGCACAUGACAACUAAUGAUUGGGAACUUUCAUUUUCAACGACUUUAUCCUCGGACAAUUCACUUAGAGUGUAUGAUAAAACUUUUAAUUUCACCAAGAGAUUGCCACACAAGUGAGGAAAAAAUUUUUUAAAAUGCUGAAAAGGACAUGUCCCUGUGCUUCACAGAAUUUACAAAAUGAAAUCUCAGGAAAAAUGUUGUGAUUAAUAUACAAAGAGAACCCGUGGUGUGCAAAAAUGAUAAAUAGGUGGAAAACUAAUGAGGGAAAUACUAUUUUCAGCUCCUUUACAUUUCAGCCAAUCUGUUAUUGAUCAUCUACAGCUCAAAGUAGGAAAAUAUUGUCUUAUUUACAUGAGUCUUUCCAAAGUAAAGUGCUUUAUAGUAGAAUAACACCUUUAAUUAAUAUUCUGUUUAGUUGAGGCUUCUAUCUACCAGCAAUAAAAGGUAAGUUUUCAUUGCUUCA
ensembl:lncRNA